GACAGAGGGGGCAAGCGUUGCUCGGAAUUACUGGGCGUAAAGGGCGCGUAGGCGGGAUGGCAAGUCGGUCGUGAAAUCCUUCGGCUCAACCGAAGAACGUCGAUCGAUACUGCCGUUCUUGAGGGUUGCAGAGGAGACUGGAAUUCCCGGUGUAGCGGUGAAAUGUGUAGAGAUCGGGAGGAACACCGGUGGCGAAGGCGGGUCUCUGGGCAAUUCCUGACGCUGAGGCGCGAAAGCGUGGGGAGCAAACGGG
rnacentral:rRNA from 1 species